AUGUCGGUCCGGGUUUCGUGAAGAAAAUUAAGUUUUAAGUUGGAAGCUCUCACUCUCCCACUAGCGAGGUCGGAAUGUCGGAUACGUUCAUAUGUGGAAGAGAGCGAGAGACAGGAUAUAUAGGUUCUGGGUUUCGUGAAGACAAUUAAGUUUUAAAAAAUCUAGCCGUUGGACGCUCCCACUCUCGCACUAGCGAGGUCGGAUCCGUUCAUGGGAGGAAGGAGAGAGAGAGAGCAAGGAUAUGUCGGUCUGGGUUUCACAAUUAAGUUUUAAAAAAUCGAGCCGUUGGAAGCUCUCACUCUCCCACUAGCGAGGUCGGAUCCGUUCAUGGGAGGAAGCAGAGAGAGGCAGCGGAAGUGACCAGACCCACCGCCCUGAACCCAGUCCCUUUCACUCCGGUGACGAAAACUGCGGUCUCUUUUUCUCUCGCUAAUUUUCGAAUUUCUGUUUGUGCGGUUUUCGAUGGUGCCGCCCCUAUAAUCAGUGACAAACCGUUGGCUGUAAUCGGAGGGGGUAGCCGCUGGCUGUAAGCGCGAGCCACCGCCCUGGCUGAACCUAUCCCGUUUCUUUCCGGUGAGGAAAACCACGGUCUCUUUCUCUCUAUCAUUAUUUUUUCUGUAACCUAUUUCUCUAUUUUUCAAAUUUCUGAUAGUGCGGUUUGAGAUGGUGCGGCCCCCAUAUUCAGGGACAAGCCGUUGGCUGUAAUCGGAGAGGGUGAUUCCGCCAUGGAGGAGGCCAAGUUUUUUACCAAGUUUGGGUCUAGGGUUUUUAUCAACAGCCGCUGGGAUACUUUGAGGGUUUCGUACAUUGACCAAUCCUAAGAUCGAGGUGGUGUGGAACUCGGUGGUCGAAGCCUAUAGAGAUGGAGAUAAGGGGGUUUUCGGAGGUUUUAAAGGUGAAUAACGUGGUGACUGGGCAGGUCUCAGAUUCGAAGGUCCCUGGUUCGUUCUUUGCCGUCAGGUAUGAGCCAGCAUCCAGGUUCUUGGAUUUCCAGAUAGAAUUUGGUUCUGAUGGUUUACGUUGUGACGAAGCCCAGAACAACACAUAUGAGUGUUAGUGACUUUUGGCCCUGCUCUUACUUUUGUUUUCUCCAUUCAGUCUUUCGGUAUUCUCUGGAGUUGAUUUUUUGAAGGUAAAUGCAGUGUGUGGUAUGUGUUUAAUGUUUUUCCAGCUUCGAAACUUGGAAGUAGCCUCUCCUGUGAAGCAGGGGGUAAGGCUGCGCACUGGCCUCUUCCAGAGCCUGCAGUAGCUGGAUCCUCCUGCACUGGGUUGCUCUUUUUUAUUUUGUUGAACUUAGCAGAAAUGGAUGAUAUGUAAGAAUAGCUUGCACUUUCCUGUUUGCUUGCCUUUUUUUCUUAUUGAGUGGGUCUAAUUUGUUUGAUUUGCUAGUUUAUUUGCAUUUGGGGCUGUUUUGUUGCUUCAUAUAAAUGCUGACUUUCUUUGGUAGAUUGAAUUUUUGUUUUGGCGUGUUGUAAAUAGAUCCUUUUCUAUACAUAGGCCCUAUGAUAUUUUCAAAAAGUGAUAUGAAUAAUUAUCUGGGCGAGAGGCUCAUAGGAUCUCCCCAACUUCCUCCAGGACCACCCUCAACAGUCGGUUUUGUGCAUGGUUCUCCUCCUCUAAGUCUGUAAUUCUUGAUGAGUUGUGGCUCUGCAUAAUAAAAUUCAUGCUCUGUUGUAGUUCACAUGCCCAGUGUCUCCCUUUAUUACAAAUGAUAGAGAAAAUGGUGGAAAAACCACCAAUGUAGGGUGAAGCCUCCACUGAUAGCUUAAAUUGUUAACAUGCUUGCUAGAUUGCCUAUCCAUAAAGAACCAACCCAAAUAAGCAGACCUAUAUAACAACUAACAAAUUUAUCUCUUAAUUAAAAAACAUUGUCUUUUUGUUUCAUUAUGGAGGACAAGUUUGAGUCUCUCUCUGUUUGUCUUUUGGUCACCAAGCUAUCAAGUAGAAGAAAGUCACUCAAAAUAGAAUGAUUUAACACAUAUUACUACAUAGAAUGGUAUUGGUAGGGUUUUCCUUGGUCCUUAACAAUCAUUUGGUGGUAGGUGAGUUGGAAAUGGUGCAAGGAUCGAUUCAAGAGAGGAGAGGAGAAGAAGAGAGAAGGAGAUGGCAACCGAAUGUGGGAGAGAAAGAUUCCUCUCUUUAUUUGAUUUACUAACAUGAAGUAAGAAAUUACAUACACCUCCCUAGGGAGGAAAAAGAUAAAAAAGUAAAAUUGCAACAUAAGACAAUAAGAUACCAAACUAGUGCCCGAACUACCUUUAUUACAUCAACUCUAACAAGUUGUUAUUGUUCAAAGACUGCUUAUGAAGGUUUGUUCACCAAAUUGUUUCUCCCUAACAAUCCUUUGGUGCUACAGAUAAUAUAUCACAGGAAGAAGAUAGAAGGAUCAGCAACCAAAGAUGAUAGAUAUACUAGAGAAAGAAAGUACAAACAAGAACAGAGGUGGGAUUCCAUUCUGGUGCUUAUCUCCAUAAAUGCUUCUGUUGAAUAAAGAUAAGGCCACCAAAUAAGAAUAGAUGUUCCCAUAACUGUCGAGCCCAAUUUUGAAACCUCAAGCAGUGGAUACUGACGCUUGAAGCAUUUCCCUAAGAAAUGGGUGAAAAAUGGAGGUGCAAAAUAUAUACUCAUCUGCGAGAAACCAAAGACAAUACAGCCAAAUAUAAAUCCCUGCUGAUAAUAAUUAUUUGCCUAUUUACCAAAUGCAUUUAAGGUCAUAAUUCCAUGAAAUUGAGACUUUGGUGAACAUAAAUCAUGCUGUUGACAUAUUUAUCCAACAAAGGGACCUUUGACCUAGUUAAUGAUUUAAGUCAAGGUAAGUAAGCAAGUGUUUCAAGCACUUGAACUCAAGAUUCAAAAUCACACAACAUUUCGACAAACUAGUUUCAUAAACGUUGUGAACUCAACUAUACAUAACUAGAAAAUUAUUAAAGGGGGAAAAGAAACAAUUAAACUCUAGGGAAGUGGUUAGUGCAACACUAGAUAAAGAAACAAACCUGUUUAUGGCUGAGUGCAAGACUAGACAAGAAACAAGCUACAAAAUCAUUUUCAGAGAAGAUGGCAGCAACAAUCCAACUGUAAAGCCCAAACUAAUGCAGUUGUACUGGCAAGUAAAAACUGGAAUUUUUUUAUGCACAAUCGCUUCAGACCUGAAAAUGGCUGUGAUCAAUUUUGAUAAAAAAGGGGCUAACUAAAAUCAUAGCAAGAUGCCAUGUGAUGCCUUCUUUGUGGCCACUGCGGCAACCAGUGUAGUAUACCCAGAUGAAACAUAGAACUGCAGGGAAAAAUAUGAGGGCAUUGGCUUACAAGACUGUGCACCUCAUGAAAAGUUUUUUGUAGGAAAGAAAGAACUUUUAAAAUCUUGCCAAAAAUAUGAGGUGUGGGUUUUGCUUGUUUGAAACAUUAUGUGGGUAGAGAUUGGGUUUGGAAAAGGCUUGAGUUUCACAAGGAAGCAAAAUUACUCAGGGAUCUCUUAGGAUCCAACAAUAGUUGCUCCUGCAAUUCAACCUCCAAUCUGAAGGUUUUCUCCCUAACUUACUUAUGAGACACCCUCAAGAUCAAGGGGGUACCAGGGACAGUGGUGUGGAGUUUAAUGUGAGCCCCACAUCCACUCCUUCCAAAUCCUGGGCAGGUCGCAGUUGAAGCUUUCCACCCGAUAUGGGGCUAUUAAGUUCAGGCUCUAAUGCAGCUGGAUUCAACCACAAUCUGAUAUGGGGCUUGGUCUAGGGUGACUUUUGGCCUAGUUCAUUCUAGCUGAAUGACCUUACUGGACUGAAUAGUAGUCUAAGAUCCAAAUAUCUAGAUGAUGAUAAUUUUCUGAUAGUUGUUGGGUUUGAGACUCUAGUGGACAAAUUUACUUCAAUUAAGGUCUUAUUACACAAUAAUAAUAAACUGAAGACAAUCUUAACCCCUAGGGAAAAAAAGUUUGCAAAGUUCUGUUUUAUGCCCUAGAAAAAAAAAAAAGAAAGAAAAAAAGUUACAAAGUUAUUUACAUAAUGAAAAAAAAAAAAAAAAACUUUUGAUUGCCUUGUUCAUUAUCUUCUCAGUCUUCCUCUUGAACUUUCUCCGUCGCCCAAUUGGUGCCAUUCUAAAAGUCCUCAUAAGGCACUCAUCUUUGAAAAUGAAAUCCUAUGACAAUUCCAAUUAUCAUUCCACAUCCAUAACCAAUCAACACGGAUUUCCAGUCAAAUUCAAAGUCAUUUGCUGACUUUGACUCCUCACUUGUGGUAGCGACAUAGCGUAGCAUUACUAAUAGAGAGAAGAGAGGAGAAGAAGAGAGAAGGAAAUGGCAACCGAAUAUGGGAGAGAAAAAAUUCCUCUCCCCUAUUUGAUUUACUAACAUGAAGUAAGAGUAAGAAAUUACACACACCUCACCAGGGAGGUAAAAGGUAAAAAGUAAAAUCAGAACAUAAGACAAUACAAUACUAAACUAGUGCCCGAACUAAUCUUAUUAUAUAAGCUCUAACAAGGUGUUAUUGUUCAAAGACUGCUUAUGAAGGUUUGUUUACCCAAAUUAUUGCUCCAUAACAAUCCUUUAGUGCUAUUCUUUAGUGUUCUUUGAUUUAGGGAUUUUCUUCAUCUUGAUUUGUCGAUCUAAUCUGCGGUUUUCUUCUCUAUCUCUUUGUGUCGGUUUGAAGAUAAGUUCUUUUAAUAAUUAAUUGUACAUGACUUUUCUAAGUAAAGAUUUCUGACCUCAUCAUGUCUUGUAGCCAUUCCAUCAUCUUCAGAUGUGGUAUUCAAUGCAAAUCUUUCCCUACUAAUGAUUGGUUAUUACAGCCAUGUUCAAUGGAGGCCUUGGGAUGCCUGAGUAAUGAGGAGUGAUCAGAUCAAGAUGGAAGGAGUUUAAAGGACUAGGGGCAGGCCUAAAUGAUCAUAGAUAAUGUUGUAAGGACAGACAUGCAGAAGCUAGGUCUGGACUCUGGUAUGACCUCGAACAUAACUGUUUGGAGGGCAACGAUCCAUGUAACAAACAGCUUUUAGGUGGGAUGGCCUUGUGAUGUUGCUUCAUUUCCUCAAGGAUCCAUGUGGCCGACCCCAUUUAGUUGGGAAAAGGCUGAGUUGUUGUUGCUCUUAUGCUUUCCUUAUUUGUAUUUAUUUUGUUGUUUCCUGUCUAUUCCUAUUUCCUAUGUUUUGGAGCUCUAUUUUUCUCAGGAGGAGAGGAGUUGGAGUUGUGAUGAUAAUGUGGUGGAGGGACUGUGGUAGAUUUUGAGAUGUGGAUUCUUCUUCUGCUGCUAAGAUUUGUUUUUCCUUUCUUUAUUUGGGAUUCAAAAAAUAGUCUUAGCAAGUAUGAUUGUUCAUUGAAGUCAUCGAAUCCUGUAGAAUUGGAAUUUACCUGGCAAUAUCCGGUGCUGAAAAAGCUGAGUUGCAUGUGACGUGACAUCCUGUUGGUGCAGAAAAUACUGAAAGGGCUAUUAACGAUGUUGAAUCUGUGUCACUAUCUUCCAACAAUCAGCUUCAAAGUGCAGCUGUUGCCCCUCCAACAGCAACUACGGAUGACACUUCUACUCUAGCUUGUCUUUGCAUAUGGUAAGCCUGGAAAAUCGGUUUCCAAGUAUAGUCUCUCUAAUUCACUUGAACUUAAAGUUUCAAUUAUUUGUUUUUCCUUUUCCCUUCAUUUUUAUCAGUUAUUAUUCUAGGAUAAAGCUUGAACUAGAUGCUUUUUCCCCACUAAUAAGAUUUGUUUCUAUAAGUUUCUAGUCUUGAUGAACUGAUAUCUUUUGCCUUAUUUUAUUUUAUUAUAAAUUAUUGGUAUUGCAUUUGUGAACUCUUCUAUAUGUCUAGCUAAUAUGGAAAAUUUUCCGCUUGGGUGUAUUUGAGAACCAUUAUGCUCGAGAAAAUGGUGCAAGCUGGAAGGUUGUCUGCUGGGCUUUGAACACUCAAAAGGGUUGAGCAGACUUUACAAGAUCUUGGGAUUUGUUUACUUUGCCUUGCAAAAGUAUAUUUUACUUUAUAAUCGCAUUUCUCAAUGUUUCAGGAAGUAUUCUGUAGAUGAUAGCAUCAAUUUGGCAUGUUUCCUUUGUUAAAUGGAGUAAGGAUUUGGUUGAGCUUUCUUCUUUGCUUGUAGUCAUAAUUUUUUUUAGUGUUAUGUUAGUUGGUUUUGCACAUUGAAUUAUGGGCCAAUUUUUGACAUUGAUUUUUCGAUACUACCAAGGCCUCUAGGAUUUGCUUUUAUGAGGUAAAUUGACAACUAAGCCUUUUUAGACUCACUAUUGGUCUCAGGAUUUCCUCCCUCCCCUUGAUACUCUUUUAGGCUAUGGCUUUAUGUCUGCAUUUGUGGAGCAGUUACAAAGGUUUAUCUGAUGGAGAUACAAUCACAACCUUUCUUCUCAGGAGGAGAAGACAACAUGGAGAAUUUAAUCACUCUGAUGAAUAAGCAGCAGAGGACAUGUACUUCUCUAGGUGACGAUGGAGAAGGGAGCGCAUUGCCAAUCUUGGAGAUUUGUUGCUAUUGAGCACUGUCGCCAGUGGACAGGUGAGCUGUUGAUCUCCGACAUAGUUUUCUUUUUUAUUUCAUAUAGUUUUAUUUUUUUCUCUUUGUAAAGGCUAAUCUUGGAGAUUUGUUGCUAUUGAGCACUGUCGCCAGUGGACAGGUGAGCUGUUGAUCUCCGACAUAAUUUUCUUUCUUAUUUCAUAUAGUUUUCUUUUUUUCUCUUUGUAAAGGCCAACACACAGAUGCAAUCACAAGCUGAUUCAGAUGAAAGAGGUAGAAACUCUCCCCUUCCCCCCAUUCCUUCUCUAUCCCGAACUCUCUUUCUCACUUCACUUCUUAAUUUCAGGAAAGAAGGAAAGUUGUUCAGUCAUACAUCUGAGGAAUAGUUAUCCUUGGUUAUUUACACAAAGUAACUUCUUAUUGCUUAUUAGUGAUGGAUAUUAGACUUAAAUUGCUCUGCGACUAGUAUAUUCUUCCUUUUCUCUCUUAUUCUCGAUUUCUCUUCUCUUCAAAAAGAUGGGUUAGUUUUUCUUUUGUCUUCUGAUGAAUAAUUGCCUAAUUUGGUUUUCUAUUGUUCUUAUAUGGUGCUGAAGAAGCUGAGUUGCAUGUGAUGUUCACUGUUGGUGCAAAAAAUACAGAAAGGGCUAUUAAGAAUGUUGAAUUUGUGUCCCUAUCUUCCAACAAUCAGCUUCAAAAUGCAGCUGUUGCACCUUCAACAGCAACUAUUGAUGGUACUUCUACUCCAGCUUCUGUUGCUUAUGGUAACCCUGGAAAAUCAGUUUCCAAUUAUGGUCUCUCUAAUUCACUUGAACUUAAAAUUUCAAUUCUUCGUUGUUCAUCUGUUCCUUUUCCCUUCGUUUUCAUCAUUUAUUAUUCUAGGAGAAAGCUUGUCCUAGAUGCUUUUUCCCCACUAAUAAGAUUUGUUCCUACAAGGUUUUAGUCUUGAGGUACUGAUAUCUUUUGCCUUAUUUUAUUUUAUAAUAUUUUAUUGGUAUUGCAUCUGUGAACUCUUCUAUAUGUCUAGCUGACAUUGAAAAGUAUCGGCUUAGGUUGUAUUUGAGAACCACUGUGCUCGAUAACAUGGUGCAAGCUGGAAGCUUAUUUACUAGGCUUUGAACAAUCAAAAGGGUUGAGUGGACUUUACAAGAUCUGGGGAGCAAUUGACGAAUGACCUGGUACUAGUGGAUAGACUAUUCCAACAGGCUCUAGAAGCUGGAAUUUGCAUACAGGUCAAUCAGUGGUGAAGAAAUUUUUAUCCUCGUAUCUUCGGGGAAAUAUAUUGUGAUUACUUGAGUCGACCAGCAUAAGCUGGAGUAUGGGUAUUGUUCUGAGACACUUCUUAAGUUUCUUUUUUCCCCCUUCAUUUAUUUGAUAGGAUGUUUUUGCAAGGCCCAACAACUUGUUUCAUUUCAUUGUUUUGGUGUUUUUACCGAAUUUUUGACGAAACAGUGUACUUUUUCUAUAUGUUUCGCUAGGCCAUUUUGAAGGGCUAAUGACUGAAGUGUCUAAAAUUAGCAAAAUGAGCGAAACAAAAUGUUUGAGAUAACCAACACCUCGUUUCAUUUCAUUGUUUUGGUGUUUUUACGAAGUGAGCAAAAUUUUGAAAUGAAAUGACCGUAAUAUGACCAA